rnacentral:lncRNA from 1 species
AUGCUUAAAACGUCGAAGCAAGCAUUUAGCAGAGACAACGAGUAUAGUGCAUCCAUGGCUUUCUAAGUUGAUAUAAAAACAUGGUUGAAAAUGGAUAAAGAUAAAUAAUAGAUUGAGGUAUACAGUAUUUUUUUUUUUUUUGGUAAUGUGAGGUAUACAGUAUUUGUAAUUGUAACUGAAGAAAUAAUAGUUCUUAAACAAAAA